GACAUUGAGCCAGGAUCAGGUGCCCGCCGGACGGGCUUAAAAGGGAAGACGGUGCAAAUCCGUCGCGGUCCCGCCGCUGUGAACGGGGACGAACGCCGCAUGGCCACUGUUGCAGCACGCCUGCAAUGGGAAGGGCGGCCAGUAGGAGGAUCCGUGAGCCAGAAGACCUGCCUGAGACCUGCGGGGAGA
rnacentral:ncRNA from 2 species